UGAGGAAUUUUCCGCAAUGGGCGCAAGCCUGACGGAGCGACGCCGUGUGGGUGAUGAAGGCUUUCGGGUCUUAAAACCCUGUCAGCAGGAACGAUAUUGACGGUACCUGCAGAGGAAGCCCCGGCUAACUACGUGCCAGCAGCCGCGGUAAUACGUAGGGGGCGAACGUUGUCCGGAAUCAUUGGGCGUAAAGCGCAUGUAGGCGGUCCAGUAAGUCAGGUGUUAAAUCCCCGGGCUCAACCCGGGUUCGCAUUUGAUACUGCCGGGCUAGAGAAAUGUAGAGGAAAGCGGAACUACCGGUGUAGCGGUGAAAUGCGUAGAUAUCGGUAGGAACACCAGUGGCGAAGGCGGCUUUCUGGCCAUUUUCUGACGCUGAGAUGCGAAAGCUAGGGGAGCAAACGGG
rnacentral:rRNA from 1 species